GAUGAACGCUGGCGGCGUGCUUAACACAUGCAAGUCGAGCGAAGCACCUUGACGGAUUUCUUCGGAUUGAAGCCUUGGUGACUGAGCGGCGGACGGGUGAGUAACGCGUGGGUAACCUGCCUCAUACAGGGGGAUAACAGUUGGAAACGGCUGCUAAUACCGCAUAAGCGCACAGUACCGCAUGGUACGGUGUGAAAAACUCCGGUGGUAUGAGAUGGACCCGCGUCUGAUUAGGUAGUUGGUGGGGUAACGGCCUACCAAGCCGACGAUCAGUAGCCGACCUGAGAGGGUGACCGGCCACAUUGGGACUGAGACACGGCCCAAACUCCUACGGGAGGCAGCAGUGGGGAAUAUUGCACAAUGGGGGAAACCCUGAUGCAGCGACGCCGCGUGAGCGAUGAAGUAUUUCGGUAUGUAAAGCUCUAUCAGCAGGGAAGAAAAUGACGGUAC
rnacentral:rRNA from 1 species